CAGGCAGGGCUGGGGAGGGCUGAGCCGGCCUCUCCCAGUCUCAUGGGAGGGUUUCAUUGGGUCUGUUUCCCGAAGACCAACCUGCUUAAAGGUAAUGCGCAUUGGUCGGGAAGGCAGAUCUUCAGCCCUCGGAAGCGGAUGUUGACGUCAUAAAGUUCCACCCUCGUCUGGGAUCCUCAUUCACCUGAAAACAGUCAAGAGUUGGAAAAAUUGGGUGAUGACAAGGGCCUGGUCAGAUGUCUUCAAAAGGAGAUCGAUUCAAUAAACAGCCUCUUAUCUGCCGUGGUUACUUUACUCCUUCACAUCCCUGAUCAAAUCCAGUCAGAGAUGGGAACGUACCCCUUUCCUUGGUGGAGGAUUGGGGAGCCAAGCUUCAAAAUGUGGGUACAGAAGGGAGAGACCCAGUUGGGAAGCUAUGAAGACAUCAGGAAGGUUGAGAAACCUCUCUGAACCUUAGAUCCCACAUCUGAAAGAAAGAGAAGAGGAUGGGAGCAGAGCUGAGAUGGAUGCUAGAUAAACAGCCAGGAGUGUCCAAUUCUAAGGGUCCAAGUUAGAACCCAAGGAUGUCCCUUCUAGAAGCUUCCAGAUGAUUCAUGAACCACACUCGGAGAAUCUUGGCCCACUCCAUGCUGCAUGUAGACCCUUUCUAAAAGAAGCAAUUCCAAGUAGUGAUAAAUGGAAGAAGAGAGAAGAUCAAUUUACAGCAGGUACACAGACAGAAAUUCAGGUCCCAGCUCUCAAGAAAAAUAUUUUCAACCCCAAUUGCCAGAGCAAAGGGAUCCAUCU
rnacentral:lncRNA from 1 species